rnacentral:rRNA from 1 species
GGGCCCGCACAAGCGGUGGAGUAUGUGGUUUAAUUCGAUGCAACGCGAAGAACCUUACCAGGGUUUGACAUCCUGCGAAUCUCUUGGAAACGAGAGAGUGCCUUCGGGAACGCAGUGACAGGUGGUGCAUGGCUGUCGUCAGCUCGUGUCGUGAGAUGUUGGGUUAAGUCCCGCAACGAGCGCAACCCACGUCGUUAGUUGCCAGCAUUUAGUUGGGCACUCUAGCGAGACCGCCGGUGAUAAACCGGAGGAAGGUGUGGAUGACGUCAAGUCAUCAUGCCCCUUACGGGUUGGGCUACACACGUGCUACAAUGGUAGUGACAAUGGGUUAAUCCCAAAAAGCUAUCU